GGGAAGUGGGAGAUGCCGCCGCUGGAGAGAGAGAAGGAGAUAUCGCUGACUGGGGAGAGAGAAGAUUUAUCGUCGUCGUCGACUGGGGAGAGAAAGGAGACGUCGCCGGUGCCGACUGCCGGCACUCGUCAGUGAAGUGGGGGAGAGAGGCCUUGACUGGAAAAUGGGAGAUGUCGCCGACUGGAGAGAGAGAAGGAGAUAUCCCACUGUGGAGAGAAGAUUUAUCGGGGAGAAAAAGGAGACGUCGCCGGUGCCGACUGGGCUACCGGCAGUCGUCAGUGAAGUGGGGGAGAGGCGUUGACGAAGAGAGGAAAGGGAAGCGAGGGAGAGAGGCGCCGACGGAGAGAGGAAAGAGUAAAAUGAAAAAGGAAAUUAGGGUUAGUUUUGUUAAUAUAGGUAAUCGGGUUCGGGUAACGGGUAUCCGAUCACCUAACCCCGAACCCUACCCGAAUCCGAAACGGGUAAAAUUUUUCAAAUUCGAAUCCGCCUAAAUCCGUUUUGUAAAAACCCAAAUCCGGCCUAAUAGG
rnacentral:lncRNA from 1 species